UUUGGAUUAAUACCCCGUAACAUAGCGAUGUGGCAUCACAUUGCUAUUAUAGGCUUCGGCGGUAGUGGAUGAGCGUGCGGUUGAUUAGAUAGUUGGCGGGGUAACGGCCCACCAAGUCUACGAUCAAUAGCUGAUGUGAGAGCAUGAUCAGCCACACGGGCACUGAGACACGGGCCCGACUCCUACGGGAGGCAGCAGUAAGGAAUAUUGGGCAAUGGACGCAAGUCUGGACCCAGCCAUGCCGCGUGAAGGAUGAAGGUCCUCUGGAUUGUAAACUUCUUUUAUCUGGGGCGAAAACAACUCUUUCUAGAGUUCUUGACAGUACCAGAGGAAUAAGCACCGGCUAACUCCGUG
rnacentral:rRNA from 1 species